GUAGAAGCAAUGCAUCCCAAGAUAGAAAAAAAAUUAAUUUUCGUUCCCCAUGGUUAUUGGUUCUGUAUCCUCCUCACGGCCAUGGAUUCAUGGUGCAGCUUGAAUCGCAACAAUCGGUGGUGUAAUCCAACUGUGUAUUAUCAAAGAAAUGCUUGUUCGGACGGUGCUGGAAUGGGGAGCUCUAAGAUGCACAGCCAGGAGUAAUUCUAAACGCUCUAAGAAAUUGCAUCAGCGGAAACUAGGAAGUUCGUGUAGGGGGGCUUAACUGCUCUGUACUGCUACCUUGCACUGCUUGGCUUCAUCAUCAAUACCCAAUAUUCCUAGCACAAAAUGCACUUAAAUUUACUCUAUUAUAACAGCAUUUUGUGCUCACUCUAGGAAAAAGUGGGCAAUUUCGAUGUGUUUGUGUGAUCGGCUUGUACGCCACGUAAACUUUGUUGAAUCAAAUUUUGUGCGACCAGCCAA